UGGCUGUCGUGUGGGAUUUCUCUGACUCUGAGCUCUCCUCUCCCUCUUUUGCCUGCUCAUAUUGGUGUCUGCUAAUGAAUCAAGUGGCAUUAGUCAGCUUAUAGUGGAGGCCAGGCACGGUAGUGUGGUUCCCCUCACCGUUUGUAGUGUUAAAGUUCACCGGGACACCCGGUUUGUUUGCAGAGAUUCCUGUGAGCGCGCAUGGCGGUUUCUUAACUUCCUGUCUGUCGUGCCUCGAGUCCUGUACCUGCCACGAGGGUGGCACCUGUCUCUGCAGCUCCUGUCCCCACAGUCCCUGUGCCUGCGCCCUGAACCUAGCCGCCCGCAGCGCCCCCUGUGGCUGUGCCCCAGACCCAGCCGCCGGCAUCACCCCACGUUCCUGUUCUUGAGGAGCCGUUAAUUCCAGCAGUCCACGUUCCUGUUCCUGUUCCUGAGGAGCAGUUCGCUCCGGCAGUCCACGUUUCUGUUCCUGAGGAGCUGUUUGCUCCGGCUGACCGCGCCUACGUUCUUGAUCCUGAGCUGGUCGCCGCACCGGCAACCCACGCCUACGUUCACGACCCUGAAGAGCCAAUCGGUGCGCCGGCAAUCCACGCCUCCGAGCCCAAGGGGCCUGCCACGUCCUGUCCACCUCCUGGUCGCCUUCCGGAAAACUGUAGAGACUCCCUGAACUUUGUUUGUUUAGCCCUCUUGUGUAUAUAUAGCCCUGCCUUUUCCAUUGUUCAUAGUUUGCUGCAUGUCCUUCUUAUGUUCCUCCUAUGAGUUUUUGCUGUAUUGAGUUCUGGAUUACCUGCCUUGCCUGCAGCACCUUUUGUUGGAUUUUUGUUUUUCA